AGUUGAAGCCCGUGAAGAAGAGAUCACUUACGCUGACCCGAAAUUCUACAAAAGAAACAAUCCGACUGUUAAACAGGAAGAUGAGGUGGUGUACGCAGCUGUUGUCACCAGACGUUAAUUAAACUAAAAGAAAGAAGUUUCCUCAUUAAUGAUGUUCUGAUCACAGUCAGUAGGUUAAGCCAAUUAUUGCAACAAAGCUGUUUAAGGAGGGAAAGCGGUGUUUGUGCUUACAUGCACUGUGCUAGCAGCAGCUUAUGUGUACAUGUGUUUGUUUGUUUGUUUUGUUGUUUUUUAAAGAGUGUAGAACGACACGUUUGGCUCUAGUGGUCUUUGUUUUCAAGCACUCAAGUGACUCACAGAUGCACUGUUGUACCCACAAAAAUUGAGGCCCAAGUAACGUUCUACACAGUACUUUAUUUUCCGCCUCACAACUAUGCAUAUUGCCAUUUAGUGGACUCUUCUGUCUCAACAUUCACCCGUGGACAUUCACACGGUACUAUAGUGCAUAGACAGGUGAUGUCCAGCUCCACCUCUCUGGAUGUUUAAUGGAGUGGAGGGAUAGAGUUGUGGGUAGGGUUAAGAUGUGGUUGGAUAUAACUCCAUCCAUUAGGCCCAAAUUAUAUUUGCUCCUCGCCGGACAUCAAGGAGCUAGAUGUAAUUCAGUCAUUUGCUCUGCAGUGAGCAGCCUCUCCAGACGUCCACAGACCCUCCGGAUGAUUAAAAUUACGUUACGCGGACCGUUGUGGAACACAGACAGACAAAGUAUACUUUGGGUUUAACACAACUUUCUGCAAAACCCCUGCAAUAAUCUUUUUUUAAAUGUACUGUAAACUGUUUUUCUUCCCAAAUAUUUUUGUGUUGUUUGUAAAAAAAAAAAAAAUCCCGAUUCUGAUUCUGCAUGUUAAUGUGUUACAGUUCUACUAAAGUUCAAAAGGUCAAACAUACAGAGAAAGUGGGACAUUAACUAGAUUUUAUUUGAGAGUUUCUCAUUUUGAGCAUUUCAUUUUAGUUUGUAAGACUAUAAAUAUACAUGAUAUAUGAUAAAUGAACUGAAUUUAGCACAAAUUCUGGUGAAGACCGCAAAGUUACACAGAUGAAGCAAGUCUAUAGUUUCCUCAGAGCUCCUAAAACCCUCAUGUGGAUUCUCAACAAGCUCAAAACUCAUCUACAUUUAACAGACAUUUAUCAUGAACCGAAUUUAGCACAACAUUUGGGGAGAGUGCGAAGUUACAUAGACUAAAACUAAGCAGCAUCAUAAAAACUAAUCUUCAUAACUGGGACUGAUGUGAGAACGGCUCAGAUAUUUAUUCAGAAGUAUUAAUUUUAGGAGGAUACUUGUCAGUUUUACUCUGUGUAUGUUCAGGAAAUCCCAGCAGACUUCAAAUAGCCAUUUUAUAAGUUUUAGCAGCACAUUCUCAAUGCAUUCAGAUCAAGUCACUGAUCGAUGUACAUAAAACUGCAGAAUAACAGAAUACAUUUAAUGUUGUGAUAAAUAUUAGCAGCAAACUGAUGGGAUUUAUUUAUUUUAUUUUAUUUUUGUAUUUUGUGUAUUUUUAUAGUACUGUAUUCAACAGACUCACCCCACAGAAGGCCUUAUUUUUAGAACUGGAAAGAAAUGUAGUUUCAUAUGUUGGGUAGAGACCAUGUGUGUGAGAAUGUGUGAUCACUGGACGUCUGUGGUUACUGUGCAUCUGUGUUUACAUGUCUUGAGGUGUGAAUAGAGUGAAAGUGUGUUCCUGAGAAUCGUGUGGUUGAAGAACUUCCACAAUUUCACUUCCUCUUUAUGCAAAAUAUAAUGUUUUACUGCAAAAUGGAAUUUUACAGAAUGGAAAAUGUUUGACAAAAAUAAACUCUCUGUGAGAUCUU